CUUAAAUUGAAGAGUUUGAUCAUGGCUCAGAUUGAACGCUGGCGGCAGGCCUAACACAUGCAAGUCGAGCGGCAGCGGGAAGUAGUUUACUACUUUGCCGGCGAGCGGCGGACGGGUGAGUAAUGUCUGGGGAUCUGCCUGAUGGAGGGGGAUAACUACUGGAAAC
rnacentral:rRNA from 1 species